AUUGAACGCUGGCGGCAUGCCUUACACAUGCAAGUCGAACGGCAGCACGGGAGCAAUCCUGGUGGCGAGUGGCGAACGGGUGAGUAAUGUAUCGGAACGUACCUUUCAGUGGGGGAUAACGUAGCGAAAGUUACGCUAAUACCGCAUAUUCUGUGAGCAGGAAAGCAGGGGAUCGCAAGACCUUGCGCUGAUUGAGCGGCCGAUAUCAGAUUAGCUAGUUGGUGAGGUAAAGGCUCACCAAGGCGACGAUCUGUAGCGGGUCUGAGAGGAUGAUCCGCCACACUGGAACUGAGACACGGUCCAGACUCCUACGGGAGGCAGCAGUGGGGGAAUUUUGGACAAUGGGCGGCAAGCCUGAUCCAGCCAUGCCGCGUGAGUGAAGAAGG
rnacentral:rRNA from 1 species